UUCAGCCAGAACCACCUACCAGACGCCAUUCUGAAGAGGGCAGUAAAAAACUUGACAGUUCAACAACUCGCAGCAAAAGAUACACAGAAGAGGAGGAUAAAUUGAUGAAAUCCUACAUUACAGAUCAUGCCUUGGCAAAACAAGUUCGUGGCCGAGCCAUGUGCUAGAAAAAAAAUGUACGUGGUACCGGGCCGAACAUGGCAAAGUUUGAGGAGCCGGUUUCUAAAUUAUUUACUGGGAAAAUAAUAAGGUGGUACCGGGCCGAACAUGGCAGGGCCUCAAGAGCCGAUAUCAGAAAAUAGCAUGGAAAGCAGAGCAGAGCAAAGCCCGAUAUCUGCGCAACAUACUAGGAAAGCUGUAGGGAAGGUCCCGGUAUGCUCUGUUAAUGGGAGAGGCGUGGAGACAAAUUGUGUUUAAACAACGAGUUGUUCAAGAUAUUUGUAAAUCAUGUUUAUAUAGCUUAUAUAUA